GCCCUUAUUGCUAUACACAUAAUCAAUAGACCCCUUCUCCAGUUCUCUCUUACAAAACCCCUUUCGAACUUCUCUACUCAAAGCCGCCUUCUUUUUCUCAUCUGCGUGUCUUUAGUUGUUUAGCCUAUGCAACUAAUGUCCAUACUUCUCACAAAUUUGACCAUCGUUCCAUACCCUCAAUUUUUAUCGGAUAUCCUAUUGGUCAGAAGGCUUACAAAUUAUUUGAUUUGUCAACCAAAAAGGUUUUCACUAGCCGUGAUGUAAAAUUUCACGAAAAUAUCUUUCCUAAUAAAUCUAUCCAGCCCUACUCUGCCAAAAUUGGCCCAAACACUAAUUCUGGCCCAAUUCCUCUUGUGGCCCAUGACAUCCCUUACCAUUUUGACUCCAUUUCAGACACUUCUCAUCCAAACAAAAACCCUCCUCAUCCAAACAUGACUCAUUCUUCUUCGAUUCCGCAAUUCGCUCCUGCCUCUCCUCCUUCGUCGGAUUCACCAUUUUCGGUACCAGAAUCCUCGUCACACCUGCUUUCUCCACCGCUUCUCUCCUCUUCUGCAUCCAAUCCCGACCAUCCACUCGAUCCAGCUCCACUUCGUCGUUCCAGUCACCAUGCCGAUCCGCCAGCCAAGCUUCGCAAUUACGUCUGCUCCACUGUUUCAUCUAACCAAUCGUCCACCUUGCUGCCUGGUCCGACCAAAGGUACGAGAUAUCCACUGGCUAAUUUUGUUUCGUAUCACAGAUAUACACCUGCACAUCGCUCUUUUGUUGCUCAGAUCAGUAAGGUUACGGAACCCAGUUCUUAUUCGAAAGCCACUGUUCAUCCUAAAUGGUAGGAAGCCAUACGUUCCGAAUUACAGGCUCUGUAAGCCAAUGACACUUGGUCUCUCAUUCCACUCCCAGUCGGCAAGACUCCUAUUGGCUGCAGAUGGGUGUUUAAAAUCAAACACCAUUCCGAUGGUUCUAUCGAGAGGUAUAAAGCCCGUUUAGUUGCCAAAGGCUUCACUCAGCUGGAAGGUGUUGAUUAUCAGGACACACUUUUCCCCACUGCCAAAAUAAUCUCAGUUCACUGCUUGCUCGCCUUGGCUGCCUCUUGUAGCUGGUCCAUUCACCAAAUGGACGUCAACAAUGCCUUUUUUCAUGGCAAUUUAGCUGAAGAAAUAUACAUGUCUCCGUCGCCAGGGCUUCGACGACAGGGAGAGGAUAACUUGGUUUGUCGCCUUCAUAAGUCAUUGUACGAAGUGAAACAGGCAUCUCACCAGUGGUUCACCAAGUUCUCAGAGGCUAUUUGCUCCGCUAGUUAUGUACAAUCUCGAGCUUAUUACUCUCUAUUCACCAGAAAACAAGGCAAUUUAUUUACUACUCUCUUGAUAUAUGUUGACAAUAUUUUAAUUACCAGGAAUGAUCCUGUUAGGAUUGCUGCAACUAAAAAAUUUCUGCAUAGUCAUUUUCAUCUAAAAUAUCUUGGUAAUUUGAAGUACUCUCUUGGUAUUGAGGUAUCUAUUUAUUUCCCAACAUAAGUAUGCGUUAGAAAUCAUUAAGGAUGCAAGGCUGUUAGGUGUAGCUCCUAUUGAUACUCCUGUGGAACGAGGCUUGAAAUUAUCAGACAAGAGUGACUUGCUU
rnacentral:lncRNA from 1 species